rnacentral:misc_RNA from 1 species
GUGAAUCAUCGAAUUUUUGAACGCUAAUUGCACUCUCCUCGGAGAGUAUGUCUGUUUGAGGGUCAGCCUAUAAAAAAUCGACAUAGUUGCUGUUUAACGGUGACGUUCGUCGGAAAUUGGGCCAUCUUAAAUCCUUUUGGGUUUUAAGCGACUUAAAAUUUUCUUUUUGGUUCUAUGAACGUUCCUAAGAUUUAUUUCUUUAUACGUUUAAGGUAUCGAUUUUUAUUAGACGUGACCAUCAUAUCGGAUCGCGUCCAUAAUCUUU